CCUACGGGGGGCUGCAGUGGGGAAUAUUGGACAAUGGGGGGAACCCUGAUCCAGCCAUGCCGCGUGUGUGAAGAAGGCCCUCGGGUUGUAAAGCACUUUCAGUGAGGAAGAACGCCUGGUGGUUAAUACCCAUCAGGAAAGACAUCACUCACAGAAGAAGCACCGGCUAACUCCGUGCCAGCAGCCGCGGUAAUACGGAGGGUGCGAGCGUUAAUCGGAAUUACUGGGCGUAAAGCGCGCGUAGGUGGCUUGAUAAGCCGGUUGUGAAAGCCCCGGGCUCAACCUGGGAACGGCAUCCGGAACUGUCAAGCUAGAGUGCAGGAGAGGAAGGUAGAAUUCCCGGUGUAGCGGUGAAAUGCGUAGAGAUCGGGAGGAAUACCAGUGGCGAAGGCGGCCUUCUGGACUGACACUGACACUGAGGUGCGAAAGCGUGGGUAGCACACAGGAUUAGAUACCCCUGUAGUC
rnacentral:rRNA from 1 species